rnacentral:rRNA from 1 species
GGAGUUAGGAAAUGCAGGUGCGUUAAUAGCGCACUUGCUUGACUAAGGCUCCAGAGGAAGCCACGGCUAACUCUGUGCCAGCAGCCGCGGUAAUACAGAGGCGGCAAGCGUUGUUCGGAAUUAUUGGGCGUAAAGAGCACGUAGGCGGCCUUGCAAGUCAGUUGUGAAAGCCUUCCGCUUAACGGAAGAGCGGCAUCUGAUACUACAGGGCUUGAGUACGGGAGGGGAGAGUGGAACU